CUGAUGGAGUCUAUCAUGCUAAGUGAUGGGUCAGGAGAUGGAUUAAAAACGGAAGAGUGCGCGUAGCCCAUGCAACCUCCAUCCACCAUAACUCUAUGCAUCCGCCCACUUAUAUUUUUUUUUGUCACAAUUUACCCUUGAUUUCACUUCUUUAGGAACAGUAUCUGGUGAAAUAGUAUUCCUAUUCAAGUGAAAUUGAUGCAACAAGAGGCCUAAUGUUUUCUCUCAAUAAUUCUGUUUGUCACUUUGCAGAGUAAUUUAUAAUGUGAACGAUAUGGCACUUUUUCCUCUUUUCACUGAGUUUUAUCCUCAAAGCUUGUCAAAAUAAACAAUUUGACCAUUUGAAAGAGCUUAGUUUAAUUUCCCAAUUGAAUUGUACUAGUGAGAGUUAUCAUAAUCCACAAAGCACGAGUUUGUAAUGAAGAACAAUAUCUGGUGAAAUAGUAUUCCUAUUCAAGUGAAAUUGAUGCAACAAGAGGCCUAAUGUUUUCUCUCAAUAAUUCUGUUUGUCACUUUGCAGAGUAAUUUAUAAUGUGAAUAAAAGCUUAGUUUCAUUUCCCAAUUGAAUUGUACUAGUGAGAGUUAGAAUCCACGAAGCAAGAGUUUGUAAUGAAGUAAUUUGUAAAUUA